GCCCUCAACUAGCUCAGUUGGUAGAGCACAAGGUUCUUAACCUUGAGGUCGUGGGAUCGAGUCCCACGGAGGGCA